rnacentral:rRNA from 1 species
GACGAACGCUGGCGGCGUGCUUAACACAUGCAAGUCGAACGAGAGCGUAGAGAAAGCUUGCUUUUUCUACAAUCUAGUGGCAAACGGGUGAGUAACGCGUAAACAACCUGCCCUACGGAUGGGGACAACAGCUGGAAACGGCUGCUAAUACCGAAUACGUUCCGAAAGUCGCAUGACUAUCGGAAGAAAGGAUGGCCUCUAUUUAUAAGCUAUCGCCGGAGGAGGGGUUUGCGUCUGAUUAGCUAGUUGGAGGGGUAACGGCCCACCAAGGCGACGAUCAGUAGCCGGUCUGAGAGGAUGAACGGCCACAUUGGAACUGAGACACGGUCCAGACUCCUACGGGAGGCAGCAGUGGGGAAUCUUCCGAAAUGGGCGAAAGCCUGACGGAGCAACGCCGCGUGAGUGAAGACGGCCUUCGGGUUGUAAAGCUCUGUUAUACGGGACGAAUAAUCUUGUGGUUAAUACCCAUGAGAAGUGACGGUACCGUAAGAGAAAGCCACGGCUAACUACGUG